UCGAGCGGUAACAUUUCUAGCUUGCUAGAAGAUGACGAGCGGCGGACGGGUGAGUAAUGCUUGGGAACAUGCCUUGAGGUGGGGGACAACCAUUGGAAACGAUGGCUAAUACCGCAUAAUGUCUACGGACCAAAGGGGGCUUCGGCUCUCGCCUUUAGAUUGGCCCAAGUGGGAUUAGCUAGUUGGUAAGGUAACGGCUUACCAAGGCGACGAUCCCUAGCUGGUUUGAGAGGAUGAUCAGCCACACUGGAACUGAGACACGGUCCAGACUCCUACGGGAGGCAGCAGUGGGGAAUAUUGCACAAUGGGCGCAAGCCUGAUGCAGCCAUGCCGCGUGUGUGAAGAAGGCCUUCGGGUUGUAAAGCACUUUCAGUCAGGAGGAAAGGUUAGUAGUUAAUACCUGCUAGCUGUGACGUUACUGACAGUACAAGAACCGGCUAACUCCGUGCCGGCAGCCGCGGGAAUGCGGAGGGUGCGAAAGGUUCUCGGAGUUGCUGGGAGUUAAGCGACCGGCGCCGCCGGUUUGAGCGGACCCGCGACAAUUCGGUUUGAUUUUUUAGCCUAGCGGCCGUACUCCCGAGGCGGUUCUAGUUAAUGCGUGAGCGUUUGAAAUAAGUUGUCGGAGGACCCCAGCUCCU
rnacentral:rRNA from 1 species